ensembl:lncRNA
CUCCGCACGCACAUUCAAAAAUUGUUUGUAAUGGUAAGCUGAAAGUUUGUUUAGUGCUGGCAAUUCAGGUAAUCCUGGCAACGCGUGUGAAACCACUCAGUGAAUUUGUGGGUGAAUUCCCUCAGCUGCUCUCUUUUCACGGUUUGGAGCCAUCCUCCUCUUUCUGGGACACCUCUACAGCAGUACCUCUCACCUGGUGCCUGUGGGCUGUGGGAGCAUGAGGCGGGAAGACCCCGGCACCAUGUGGAUCAGUCUCACAAACGAGAAUGGAGGAUGCACUCUCUGUUCAGUUCAGCCAUGGAUGAGCAGCACUGCAGCACUGUGAAGGGCAGGCCCUGGGCUGCUUGCUUGAACACCUGUCCUGAGGCUGGGGGGAUCUGGUUCCUCCGCUCUCCCACCCCGUGGGUUCCAGUAGGCAGCUGCCAGCUUUGCUAUCUGUCACUGGUGACGUCCUUUGCUUAUCACUGCAGAACCUUUCUGCCCCGCUAACAUCACUGUGGCUGCAUGGCCUGAUACUGAGUACAAUCUCACUUCCUUCCUGUUUCCCUUGUGGCUGCACACUGCUCUGUGGCAGGGCCCGGUGCCAGCAGGCCCCACAUGGCCGCCCUCGCUCCCCCUCAGCACAGCAGCCCCAAACCUGGCUGGUCCUCUCCAGCCCUGUGAGUGCUUGGUGCAGGGGUGACCGCCAGCCUGCCUAGAGGUUAUUUUUAAUGCUGUUCCCCUGCUUAGGCAUGGCACGUUGGGGCCACCUGUUUCUUUCACAACCUCGUCUUGUUUACAGGCACCAAUACAACAGAGGAGGCUGUUUGAGGUCUAGUAGCCCUCAAAUCUCAUCUCUUUUACUUUCACAUCUGAGAAGAAGUAAAGAAGUGGCUCUCAGUAUGACCAGUGCUUUGUGAGUAUGCAAGAGAUGGAAAAUAGUGAGUGCUAAAGAGACUGGAGUCAUUAUGGCAGCAGUGUAUGAGAACAGGGCCAGGCCCGGAUGUGGUAACAUCCUUCCUCUGGCAGUGCGUGGCUCAGACACACAGAGGUGUAAAGCAGGUUUUUAAAGCAACUGCAACCAACUAUCGCAUCUUCCUACUCUUCUAACAUUUCUUUCUCCUCCUCCAGCCUUCAUUGCCAAGGCUGCUUUAGACUUCACUGCAGUAAGGAGAUUCUGGACUUCAUGGCAAAUCAGCUCAGCUGCAGCCGGCACCCAGGCACAUUUGGAGUAUACAGCUCAGAGGGCGGAUUUCUGGCGCAUUGGCAAACCCAGGUGAAACAUAUGAAAAUAUUCCAUCUUGUGACUCUCCCCCACUUUUAAGAGGAGGCAAAAGGUAUCAGCAGCAGGAGCAGGCGGUGCGCUGCUCCGUGCACUGUGAUUCACACUGAAACACCGUAGGAGGACUCAUCAAGAAGGAUACUUCCUGUGCUUUGGGACUUGAUUUUGAUCACUUUCCACUUAAUGGGGCAAGAACACAUUUAUGAGAACCAGGCUCAGGUACCUCAGGCAUGAACCAGCUUUUGUUUGCUUUCCCACCCAAACUCUUUCAGAACCACCUUCAGCUUCCGCCCCAGAAAAGUCACCUUCUUACAGAUCUCAAUCAUAGCUCCUAUUUCUGAAGAAUUUUGCCACUGAAUACAAAGUUCAUGUGUCUGCUGUAUGAUCAGACGUACUUCUUGUAAAAAACAGUCCCCUGGACUUCAACCACAGUGGUUCAAGAAGCACUCAGCUCUGCACUUAUUUCCAGCAGUAUUUUCCAGCAUAUUUUCCUAUCAAUAUCCUUUUCAAACAAUGUCAGAAGCAGUGGAUCUAUGCCCAUGAGUCACACGCUGCACAAGUAGCAGAGAGGGCACCUAGCAGGAAGGAUUAGUUUUCCCCUUGCUCAUUGUGCUAAUUUCAACAGUGACUUACUGAACUUCUGGUGCUAGAGUCCCAACAUGUCAAGCAAACAAGAAGAAAACAAAACAAAAAAAACCGAAUCACUCCAUGCGUGCAUUAGUUCUUAGUGUCAUAACAAGUGCACUCAUGAGGCAGCACAUUGAUGCUGGCAUCACUUUCUCUCACUACCAGGGAAACACACGCAUGCAGGUACUGACACGUACCAUGCCAGUUAGAGAGCUGAAAACUAGAACAACAUAUUUACAAUAAGUUGGCUGCAUACAUUAUUCUGAAUGUUAUCAGAACAGGAUAGUCCAUAAUCAACCGAUAAAGCAGCUACUAAGCUCUGAAACUCAGUUGAAUGGCCAGAAGGAAAACGAAGCCAGACAGAAGAACAAAACCCAAAAGUAGAACAGAAUUUUGAAAGUCAGCCUAAUUUCCUACUGUGGCUCAAUACACAAUGACCAAUUAAAUUAAAUUAAUGCACCACUACCCAUACUGUACACACCAUUUCACUGAAAUUACACAUCGAUAGCUACAUUAUCUACACUAAGUGCAGAGAGGCACUGGACAUCAUGCUUCAACAAAAUGUCAAAACUGGUAACGAUAAAGUUUUACAGCUAUUAGAACUAUUCUACCUGCAGUUCUUAUUAAUACCUGGUACAAGUGAUUUAAAGUACAAGGAAGAGAUUAUAAUAUAAGGGUACAUAACACACUUCCUACAUGUCUAUCUACUAGAAAUUUAGUCUCCAAAACCUCAGCAGAAUAACACGGCCCCACAGAGUUCUGAAUAAGUGGAGAGAGAGCCGGUAUCAGUUACACUGGAACAGCAGUAUUUGCUAUUCAAUGUGAUUGCUUUGAAUCACAGUCAAGGAGCUAGCUGGCCAUAAAGAAAACUACAUGUGAUACAAUUGUUAUUAAUACUUAUAUUAAUUUUCUUUUAUUCCCUUCCAAACAGUUCUUUGUUCGGUAAAUAAAACUAAUUGUA